rnacentral:rRNA from 1 species
AGAGUUUGAUCCUGGCUCAGGAUGAACGCUAGCUACAGGCUUAACACAUGCAAGUCGAGGGGCAGCGAUGAAGAAAGCUUGCUUUCUUCAGGCGGCGACCGGCGCACGGGUGAGUAACGCGUAUCGAACCUGCCUCAUACUCGGGAAUAGCCUUGCGAAAGUAAGAUUAAUGCCCGAUGUUAUUAGGAUAUCACAUGAUGUUUUAAUUAAAGAUUUAUCGGUAUGAGAUGGCGAUGCGUCCCAUUAGCUUGUUGGCGGGGUAACGGCCCACCAAGGCAUCGAUGGGUAGGGGUUCUGAGAGGAAGGUCCCCCACAUUGGAACUGAGACACGGUCCAAACUCCUACGGGAGGCAGCAGUGAGGAAUAUUGGUCAAUGGACGCAAGUCUGAACCAGCCAAGUAGCGUGCAGGAUGACGGCCCUCUGGGUUGUAAACUGCUUUUAGUUGGGAAUAAAGUGCACCACGAGUGGUGUUUUGUAUGUACCAUCAGAAAAAGGACCGGCUAAUUCCGUGCCAGCAGCCGCGGUAAUACGGAAGGUCCAGGCGUUAUCCGGAUUUAUUGGGUUUAAAGGGAGCGCAGGCGGACCUUUAAGUCAGCUGUGAAAUACGGCGGCUCAACCGUCGAACUGCAGUUGAUACUGGAGGUCUUGAGUGCACACAGGGAUACUGGAAUUCAUGGUGUAGCGGUGAAAUGCUCAGAUAUCAUGAAGAACUCCGAUCGCGAAGGCAGGUAUCCGGGGUGCAACUGACGCUGAGGCUCGAAAGUGCGGGUAUCAAACAGGAUUAGAUACCCUGGUAGUCCGCACAGUAAACGAUGAAUACUCGCGAUUUGCGAUACACAGUAAGUCGCCAAGCGAAAGCGUUAAGUAUUCCACCUGGGGAGUACGCCGGCAACGGUGAAACUCAAAGGAAUUGACGGGGGCCCGCACAAGCGGAGGAACAUGUGGUUUAAUUCGAUGAUACGCGAGGAACCUUACCCGGGCUUGAAUUGCAGAGGAAGGAUUUGGAGACAAUGACGCCCUUCGGGGUCUCUGUGAAGGUGCUGCAUGGUUGUCGUCAGCUCGUGCCGUGAGGUGUCGGCUUAAGUGCCAUAACGAGCGCAACCCU